rnacentral:rRNA from 1 species
AGAAUGACUCUCGGCAACGGAUAUCUAGGCUCUUGCAUCGAUGAAGAACGUAGCGAAAUGCGAUACUUGGUGUGAAUUGCAGAAUCCCGUGAACCAUCGAGUCUUUGGACGCAAGUUGCGCCCGAUGCCAUUAGGUUGAGGGCACGUCUGCCUGGGUGUCACAU